rnacentral:rRNA from 1 species
UACGUAGGGUGCAAGUGUUAAUCGGAAUUACUGGGCGUAAAGCGUGCGCAGGCGGUGAUGUAAGACAGAUGUGAAAUCCCCGGGCUCAACCUGGGACCUGCAUUUGUGACUGCAUCGCUAGAGUACGGUAGAGGGGGAUGGAAUUCCGCGUGUAGCAGUGAAAUGCGUAGAUAUGCGGAGGAACACCGAUGGCGAAGGCAAUCCCCUGGACCUGUACUGACGCUCAUGCACGAAAGCGUGGGGAGCAAACAGC